rnacentral:lncRNA from 1 species
CAUUCUCUGAGGUUCAGCUAUACUGUUUUCAGGGGGGUUAAAGUUGGUUUCUUCCAUUCUUGUCCACACGGUGGGGAUACACCAUUUUUAUUGUAAUUCUCAAGUCAUAUACAAGUCUGUACAUAUUGUAUAUUGCACAAAAGGAAAAACAGCAUAUGAUAACCCGAUACCAUAACCAUUUUUGAAACGCCAUGAACUUUUAUCACGCGACACUUACCUAAUUACCUUCUCCAAUUAACCUCUUUAAUUACCCCCCACAGGAAAGCACGUUGCAGCCACCAGCCUCCCCAAGUUCACCAUCACGGAUGACCUUGCCGC